UACAGAGGGAGCAAGCGUUGUUCGGAAUUACUGGGCGUAAAGGGCGCGCAGGUGGACCUGUAAGUCAGCCGUGAAAACUAUCGGCUCAACCGAUAGAUUGCGUUUGAUACUGCAGAUCUUGAGUACGGGGGAAGAAGGUGGAACUGUGUGUGUAGCGGUGAAAUGCGUAGAUAUACACAGGAACACCAGUGGCGAAGGCGGCCUUCUAUCCCGAUACUGACGCUGAGGCGCGAAAGCGUGGGGAGCAAACAGGAUUAGAUACCCUGGUAGUCCACGCUGUAAACGAUGGGCACUAGGUGUUGGAGGUAUUGACCCCUUCAGUGCCGUAGCUAACGCAUUAAGUGCCCCGCCUGGGGAGUACGCUCGCAAGGGUG
rnacentral:rRNA from 1 species